GACGAACGCUGGCGGCGUGCUUAACACAUGCAAGUCGAACGGAAAGGCCCUGCUUGCAGGGUGCUCGAGUGGCGAACGGGUGAGUAACACGUGGGUGAUCUGCCCCUUACUUUGGGAUAAGCCUGGGAAACUGGGUCUAAUACUGGAUAGGACCAUGCUGUAGGUGGUGUGGUGGAAAGAUUAGUUUCGGUAAGGGAUGGGCUCGCGGCCUAUCAGCUUGUUGGUGGGGUAAUGGCCUACCAAGGCGUCGACGGGUAGCCGGCCUGAGAGGGUGGACGGCCACAUUGGGACUGAGAUACGGCCCAGACUCCUACGGGAGGCAGCAGUGGGGAAUAUUGCACAAUGGGCGCAAGCCUGAUGCAGCGACGCCGCGUGGGGGAUGACGGCCUUCGGGUUGUAAACUCCUUUCAGCCAUGACGAAGCCCUUGUGGUGACGGUAGUGGUAGAAGAAGCACCGGCUAACUACGUG
rnacentral:rRNA from 1 species